GCGACCUUACUUGAACAGGAUCUGUUCUAUAGGCGCGUAUCGCUGCAUCCUUGACUAAUAAGGAGGCAAGCACUUAAGCCUGGUUGAUGAAGUCUGACCUGUGGGCUAGAGCGUGAUUAACUGCUCAGAUCAUGCUCUGUGUGUGACCUGAAGCUGUGGAGGGUCGUUCCUGGUAGCUUCAGGCUUUCCAGUGUGUCUGACAGGGA
rnacentral:snoRNA from 2 species